rfam:Archaeoglobus fulgidus DSM 4304, complete genome.
GCCGGGGUUGCAGAGAGGUACUGCGCCAGCCUUGAGAGCUGGUGCCCGUAAGGGCUCCUGGGUUCAAAUCCCAGCCCCGGCG